AGUGAACGCUGGCGGUAGGCCUAACACAUGCAAGUCGAACGGCAGCACAGUAAGAGCUUGCUCUUACGGGUGGCGAGUGGCGGACGGGUGAGGAAUACAUCGGAAUCUACUUUUUCGUGGGGGAUAACGUAGGGAAACUUACGCUAAUACCGCAUACGACCUACGGGUGAAAGCAGGGGAUCUUCGGACCUUGCGCGAUUGAAUGCGCCGAUGUCGGAUUAGCUAGUUGGCGGGGUAAAGGCCCACCAAGGCGCCGAUCCGUAGCUGGUCUGAGAGGAUGAUCAGCCACCCUGGAACUGAGACACGGUCCAGACUCCUACGGGAGGCAGCAGUGGGGAAUAUUGGACAAUGGGCGCAAGCCUGAUCCAGCCAUACCGCGUGGGUGAAGAAGGCCUUCGGGUUGUAAAGACCUUUUGUUGGGAAAGAAAAGCAGCAGGUUAAUACCCCGCUGUUCUGACGGUACCCAAAGAAUAAGCACCGGCUAACUUCGUG
rnacentral:rRNA from 1 species